rnacentral:rRNA from 1 species
GUCUAUGGCCACGCCACCUUGAACAAGCCCGAUGUCUGAUCUCGGAAGUUAAAUAGGGUUGGACCUGGUUAGCAUUUUGGAUGGGAGACCACCUAGGAAGACCAGGUGCCAUAGGCA